UACGUAGGGUGCGAGCGUUGUCCGGAUUUAUUGGGCGUAAAGAGCUCGUAGGCGGUUUGUCGCGUCGGCCGUGAAAUCUCCACGCUUAACGUGGAGCGUGCGGUCGAUACGGGCAGACUUGAGUUCGGUAGGGGAGACUGGAAUUCCUGGUGUAGCGGUGAAAUGCGCAGAUAUCAGGAGGAACACCGGUGGCGAAGGCGGGCCUCUGGGCCGAUACUGACGCUGAGGCGCGAAAGCCAGGGGAGCGAACGGG
rnacentral:rRNA from 1 species